GUUAAGUCAGAUGUGAAAUCCCCGGGCUCAACCUGGGAACUGCAUCUGAUACUGGCAAGCUUGAGUCUCGUAGAGGGGGGUAGAAUUCCAGGUGUAGCGGUGAAAUGCGUAGAGAUCUGGAGGAAUACCGGUGGCGAAGGCGGCCCCCUGGACGAAGACUGACGCUCAGGUGCGAAAGCGUGGGGAGCAAACAGGAUUAGAUACCCUGGUAGUCCACGCCGUAAACGAUGUCGACUUGGAGGUUGUGCCCUUGAGGCGUGGCUUCCGGAGCUAACGCGUUAAGUCGACCGCCUGGGGAGUACGGCCGCAAGGUUAAAACUCAAAUGAAUUGACGGGGGCCCGCACAAGCGGUGGAGCAUGUGGUUUAAUUCGAUGCAACGCGAAGAACCUUACCUGGUCUUGACAUCCACGGAAGUUUUCAGAGAUGAGAAUGUGCCUUCGGGAACCGUGAGACAGGUGCUGCAUGGCUGUCGUCAGCUCGUGUUGUGAAAUGUUGGGUUAAGUCCCGCAACGAGCGCAACCC
rnacentral:rRNA from 1 species